AACGAACGCUGGCGGCAUGCCUAACACAUGCAAGUCGAACGAGACCUUCGGGUCGGGUGGCGCACGGGUGCGUAAGGCGUGGGAACCUGCCCUUAGGUUCGGAAUACCUCCCCGAAAGGGGUGCUAAUACCGGAUCAUGUCUUCGGAGCCAUGAUUUAUCGCCUUUGGCUGGGCCCGCGUUGGCUUAGCUAGUUGGUAGGGUAAAAGCCUACCAAGGCGACGAUCCAUAGCUGGUCUGAGAGGCAGAUCAGCCACACUGGGACUGGGACACGGCCCAGACUCCUACGGGAGGCAGCAGUGGGUAAUAUUGGACAAUGGGCGAAAGCCUGAUCCAGCAAUGCCGCGUGAGUGAUGAAGGCCUUAGGGUUGUAAAGCUCUUUUACCCGGGAUGAUAAUGACAGUACCGGGAGAAUAAGCUCCGGCUAACUCCGUG
rnacentral:rRNA from 1 species